UAAGAGUACAGUUUUUCACUGUUCUUAUUCAAUAUUUGACCAUAUAUUUUAUUUAAAUUUUUUUUAUGAUUAGUAUUUUUAUUGUUAUUAGAUGAUGAAUAGUACUUUAUGUGUGACUAUUUUUUAACAAAAACAUAUAUUUUUUAAAUAAGACGGAUGGUUAAACGUUGGACACGGAUAUCCACGGCUGCACUUAAA
rnacentral:pre_miRNA from 1 species